AGCAGCCGCGGUAAUUCCAGCUCCAAUAGCGUAUAUUAAAGUUGUUGCAGUUAAAAAGCUCGUAGUUGAAUUUCGGGGUUCUACCGUUGGUCGGGCUUUGUCUGUACUGGCGUGUAGAAUUUCUACCUUCUGGGGAACCAUUAUGUUAUUAUCUUAACGUGGUAGGAAACCAGGACCUUUACCUUGAAAAAAUUAGAGUGUUCAAAGCAGGCUUAUGUCUGAAUACAUUAGCAUGGAAUAAUGAAAUAGGACGUUCGGUCUUAUUUUGUUGGUUUCUAAGAUUGACGUAAUGAUUAAUAGGGAUAGUUGGGGGCAUUAGUAUUCAAUUGUCAGAGGUGAAAUUCUUGGAUUUAU
rnacentral:rRNA from 1 species